GGACCUCCGUUCAUUUGAACUCAGUCACUACUAUACAGUAGAUGGGGAAAUUAUUUCUAGUGAUAUAAUAUGUAACCAUUGUAUCUUGUUAUUAACCAUAUCUUCUUUACAGUUCAGGUGCUGAGAUACAUCAGCUCUACAGACUCUAUCUGGUUCAUUGAACAUUAUUGAGAACUGAAAUGGAAACCGUCAACAACCCAGAGAUCUUGAGGGACUUCACUGAACGGUGACCAUCCUCCAAGAUUGAAAGAGACGAUCAGUAGACACAGCUAUAAGAAUAUUGUAAAGAUAAAUACACAACUCAGAGGAUGAGAGGACAAGAGCACUAGAUUACUAAUGGUCAAUAGCGAAUUGUAAAUAGGAGUUGGGUUUCAGUUCAACAUCUUUUAAGGAUCUGUGGAAUGUCACUCCUGAAUUCACGUGUACUACGUGUGCCACAUUUUCAUUGGUCUGUACAUUGAGUCAGGGGCAGGAUACUUGUUAUUGGCCAAGUUGUACUGCAAGGACUUCUGAUUGGUCAACCCCAGGCUAGGGUGGGGGGUUAUAAAUGGCAUCCUGUUCCUUUGUUUGGUGGUGAAAAGCUGAGGACAGGGGAGACUGAACAUCUGAACAUCUAUCUCCCAGCAUAACAUCUUGAUUUGUCCUCUAUGAAUAAACCCAUUUUUCUCCCCCUGA